GCCCUCAAGCAAGAGAAGGAUGACCUUGUUUGGAUCGGACUCACGAAUGGAAAGAAAGUAAUUUCUAUUCUGCAGCUGUGGGGAAGCGAUUUGAAGUGGACAGAUGGAUCACCGGUCUCUUACACCAACUGGGCUAAGGGCCAGCCAACAGUGGCAGGACCUUUCAUCUUCAUCGGGAAAGCUGGAGGGAACUGUGCCGGCAUGUACUCUAAGAAGCCAGGCUGGCUGAUGAUGGGCCGAGGAGAAAUAGGCCAGUGGAAAACUGGGAGAUGUGACAGCCAGCAUCCCUUUAUUUGCAAGAAGCCAAAAUGAUAAAACGUUGAUUCUGAGGCCAGCAAUGUUGAUUUGAUUAUAUCAAUGACAUCCUUUAAAAAAAAUAAAACCGAUGCGUGCGUUCGAAUGAAUUGUUACCUUUAUUUUGAAAUCUAAGGGGUCAGG